rfam:Candidatus Yanofskybacteria bacterium RIFCSPHIGHO2_01_FTLL_48_25b rifcsphigho2_01_scaffold_4316, whole genome shotgun sequence.
UAAGGUAGCUAUGUCGCGAGUGCUCCACCUGAUCCCAUUCCGAACUCAGAAGUGAAAUCUCGCGGAGCCCAUGAUAGUCGGACUUAUCCGGCGAAAGUAGGUAGCUGCCCUAC